rnacentral:rRNA from 1 species
AAAUUGAAGAGUUUGAUCAUGGCUCAGAUUGAACGCUGGCGGCAGGCCUAACACAUGCAAGUCGAGCGGUAACACAGGGAGCUUGCUCCCGGGUGACGAGCGGCGGACGGGUGAGUAAUGUCUGGGAAACUGCCUGAUGGAGGGGGAUAACUACUGGAAACGGUAGCUAAUACCGCAUAACGUCGCAAGACCAAAGAGGGGGACCUUCGGGCCUCUUGCCAUCAGAUGUGCCCAGAUGGGAUUAGCUAGUAGGUGGGGUAACGGCUCACCUAGGCGACGAUCCCUAGCUGGUCUGAGAGGAUGACCAGCCACACUGGAACUGAGACACGGUCCAGACUCCUACGGGAGGCAGCAGUGGGGAAUAUUGCACAAUGGGCGCAAGCCUGAUGCAGCCAUGCCGCGUGUAUGAAGAAGGCCUUCGGGUUGUAAAGUACUUUCAGCGGGGAGGAAGGUGUUGAGGUUAAUAACCUCAGCAAUUGACGUUACCCGCAGAAGAAG